CGUGUAGGUGGUUCUGUAAGUAGGGCGUGAAAGCUCCCGGCUCAACUGGGAGAGGCCGUUCUAAACUAUAGAACUAGAGGAUGGUAGAGGGAGGUGGAAUUCCAGGUGUAGCGGUGGAAUGCGCAGAUAUCUGGAGGAACACCAGUGGCGAAAGCGGCCUCCUGGACCAUUCCUGACACUCAGACGCGAAAGCUAGGGUAAGCAAACG
rnacentral:rRNA from 1 species